AUAAAAAAAAGGUAAAACGCGCAGAGCCACGCAGCGAAGACUACACGGCGUUGCCGAGAGAAGUAGCAGAGGGAAGAAGGCGUGAUUGGGCGGUUGGGUUAGUUCUGAGUUAGAACCGGCGUCAAUGGAGGAUGACGAUAUGGAUUCGCUGUUUGAAGGGAUGGUGUUGUUCACUCCUUCCCAAUUGGCUGACGAACAGAAGCAUCAGCAGCAGCAGCAAAAUGAUCACGAUCAAGAUCAUGAUCAUCAUCAUAUUGAAUCUCAAUCUCACGUCGAUACUGCUAAUGACAACAUUAACAAUAUUGCACCAUCACCUACAUCUCUCCGCAAGGUGCAGGAGCCUCUUGACGAGGACCUAUUCUCUGACCUCACCCUCCAAACCCUAACUACACAAUCAGAUCCUAUUCCUUCUAUUUCUCCUGCUGCUCCAGCGCAAACUGCUAUCUCCCGCCAGAUAUCCAGAAAAAAGAAAAGAGCUGCUAGCCUCAGGAUCGGCUAUGGUAGAGAAGCCUCUCUUGAUGAUAUGCCUUCUCACUCUGCUCUGCCUCCGCCUCUCCCUCCUAUGCCUACCCCUGAUCAUCCCUCUGCUUAUGCUGUUGACAAUCAAAAUCUCAGUCUCAAGCAUGAUGCUGAAUCCGAUGAUAUUAUUACUCAGUCUGAUAAAUCUGAUUUUGAUGCCUCUCAAUCCACCACUCCCACUGUUUUAGCUGAUGGCGAUGAUGCAGAACUAGAUACCAGUAACAUUUCGAUCCCUGAUUCACAACCAUCGUCCAAAGAUGAUGAAUUUGAACACAUUAAGGCCUUGAUUUCUGAGAAGCUUCAGCGCUCUCGGCAAUUAGCUGCCUCUGUCUCUGGAGCUCGCAAGGACGCCGUUAGGAGGAGAAGAAAAGCUACCGACGAUCUCAAUUUGGCUUCUGCCAAGCACAGGGACCUUGAAUUGCAGUUGGAGAAUGCCUGUGAGGCCGAAGAUUUCGAGGCUGCUGAAAGGAUUAGUGACAGCCUUGCCACCAUUGACAAGGAGAGGCAAGCCCUUCUCGCUACUCUCAGAGACGCUGAAGCCCAGUGUGAUACCGUUGAUUCUAAGAUGCACGACGUUCUCGAUUCUCAUAUUGUUGCUGAGCAAGAAUGCGCAACUCUUCUCUCUAAUUUUGCCAAGGAUGCGGAAAACGAGGCAGAUUCAGUCUUGAAGCAAGCUCAAGAACUUUCUUCUAAAGAAAUGGAUGAAUGGUUCUUAUCAAACGAGGCCUUGGAGGCCAAGAAGAUAGAGUUGGAUAUUGAAUCACACUUCAUAAAUGAAGCACGCGGAGCUGUGAAUGAUUCCAUUGAGCAUUCAAUUGAGGACUAUAGGAAAGAGCAAGAAAUUCUUCAUAAGAAAAAGGAUGUUCUCACUGAUGAACUUCAGAAACUGCUUGCUUUAGUCAAAGAAAAGGAAAAGGAGAUAGCAGAAAACAAUAGUAAAAUCAAAGCAAUCGAGGAAAGGAUUGCUGAUGUGGUCUCUGGUUUUCAGGACAGUCAAUCAAGCAUUGACACCAAGUAUGAUAACUUGCAAGGGGAACUUUCUCAGAUGCAUUUGCAGAGUCAAGCUUUAUCAACAAAAAGGAAGGAAAUUGAUAAGUUCCUUGCUGAGGGUGAAGGCCAUGGGGCAAAGCUAAAGGAACUGGCCAGGGUUUCCGAAGAUGAAGCGAAGGCAUGCGAAGAAGUUGUUGAGUUGAGGAAAAGCUUAAUGUUGUCUAUUUUGAAGUCCAUGGAAGACAAAGUGAGACUGGCAAACACCGAAGAGAAACUUAUUGAGGAUGUCCAAAUGCUUCAUCAGGAAGUUUCUGCUUUAAGAGCUUCCCUACAGGAGCUAUCAUCAACAAAAUCGAAUAUCCAGCAAACUGUAGCUUCCUUCAAGCAGAGGAUUUUUUUCAUCGAUAAAAGAGUCCCAGAACUGGAAUCAGAAAAGAAAGUCGCUGCUGCAGCAAGAAAUUUCAAGGAAGCUGCACGAGUUGCUACUGAGGCAAAGUCAUUGACUGUUGAAAAGGAUGGAGUGCAGGUUGACUUGGAAGGAGCAACGUCAGAGCUGGAGAAGCUAGAGGAAGAUAUGAAAAGUACUGUUAGCAGAUUGCAGGAUACUGAACAACUGAUAUCAUCCAAGGAAAAGGAGGUUGCAAUGGCUAGAUUUCAAAGGUUGCUUUUAAUUGCUGGUGCUGCUACAGCUGAAAGAUUCACUGCUUUGGAGCUUGGUGACACUGAAGAAGCUAACCUUCUGCUUGCAGAGGCUGAAGCAGCAAAAACUGAAGCAAAAAAACUUCAACCAAUAUUCAAUUUCAAUGAGGAACAGUUCCCAAAUUUGCCAAAACAUUUCCUUUCCACGGAACUUGUAUUUAAUCUUGGUAGAAAACAAUUGGCAGAAUUGGCAGCAUCUGUUGGUCUGCAUCACAAUGAUUAGAACCAGAGUGGAGUAGGGGUGGAUGUGAUCAAUGAAGAGAUUGGAGAUGGAAUUUCUUCCUAAUUGUUGGCAAUUAUGUGAAGCUACAAAUGGUUUAGAAAUUGCAUUUGAAUGGACAAGACAACUAGAUAUGAUCAUCAUUUUCAUGGCUGUUAUAUGGUUCUUCAGAGGCAGAGAUGCCUACGAAGAUCAUAUCUGAUGCAUCAUACAAUUUUGCUGAUCACAGGGAGGAAGUUCCAUUUUCUUCUGAUAAAUGAUAAUAUCAGCCUAACGCUUCUACCUGUUUCAAGGGUAAACUCUCCACAUAACCGUUCAUCGAUGUGAGUCCAACUCUAAGAACAGAACCCACACUGCGUUGUACGGAUGGAACCCAUUUACGGGUUCACAUGAGCCACAUUCAUCCGAUAGUUCACCAUCUUUCAUGUAUCUAUGCCAUGCACAAUGUUGAAUUGCACUUUUCCUAUCGCAUUAUGUAACCUUGGGCUUGAUUAAGGGCCCACUUAUGAAUUGAUUUUCUCUGUGGUCA